GCGUCGAAAGCGUUAAAUCUGUUUAAUUUUCUUAAUUUUAACGGUUUAAUUAAUUUUCUGAUUUAGCGUUCAAAUUAACAAUAGAAACACUACGCUAAGAAAAGACACGUGGGAGUGACUCACACGUAAAAAAUUAUAACGGGCAAAGAAGUAAGAAAGUAUUAAACAAUGGUUGUUAGUGUAUAUCUCCAUUUUGGAUCUGUAACAACAGCUGGAGGACUUACUUAGCCUCGGGCUUCAUCUAUAUGAGGUCGGUGUCGAUCAUAAUCAUAGAUUUUUUAACUUUUAUUUCUCCAUCUGCAUCCUGUUUGUCAUCCAGGAAAACCAAUUGCGAAAGAUAUUCGUGUUCAACGGACCACGUAUCCCCCUUGAUAAGAGGAAGAUGGUAUUUUAUAAGUUGCCAUUAUGUAAUGAUGGAAUGUGACAUCUCAUCAGCUCCGACUUAUACUCGGCAAGGACUCUAAUGAAGGCACUAGACCGCGGACGGUCACACCUUGUCAAGAUAGGAGCCAUACACUAUCAACUAAAUACUAAUUUGGUCGGUACAUUUUAAAUCGAAAACGCGUGUAAGAUUCCUGACCAUCAAACGUAGAAGAUGAAUGCAGAUUUACUGACGGAUUACUGACUUCGUCAUCAUCAAUUUAUUCAGAUGGGUACACUCCUAGUACCACAUAUCCUCAGACCCGACAAUCUCUUCUCUUGGCAGUAACGAAACAUAGAAACACGAGUCUAGUAAAGUUGCUCGAGUAAACACGUUUGGAAUUUCCUUUGAAAUAAAAAUUUAAGUAUAGAAAAGCGUUAAAAAGACGAGCAGAGGAUCGAUUCUUUAUUUUUGUUAAAAUGUUACCACAAAUCCUUUCACUAUCGGUUGAUUUCGAUUCGUGGUUUUCAGACUAAAUAUACUUUCUCCACAUUUCCAUUAAGUUUCCGUACUAACACCGACAUUUUAAU